UCGGGAAUUUUGGGCAAUGGGCGAAAGCCUGACCCAGCAACGCCGCGUGAAGGAUGAAGUAUUUCGGUAUGUAAACUUCGAAAGAAUAGGAAGAAUAAAUGACGGUACUAUUUAUAAGGUCCGGCUAACUACGUGCCAGCAGCCGCGGUAAUACGUAGGGACCAAGCGUUGUUCGGAUUUACUGGGCGUAAAGGGCGCGUAGGCGGCUUUGUAAGUCACUUGUGAAAUCUCCGGGCUUAACUCGGAACGGCCAAGUGAUACUGCAAAGCUAGAGUGCAGAAGGGGCAAUCGGAAUUCUUGGUGUAGCGGUGAAAUGCGUAGAUAUCAAGAGGAACACCUGAGGUGAAGACGGGUUGCUGGGCUGACACUGACGCUGAGGCGCGAAAGCCAGGGGAGCAAACGGGAUUAGAUACCCUCGUAGUCCCUGAGCGGGCUGGCAAGGCGCAU
rnacentral:rRNA from 1 species